rnacentral:RNase_P_RNA from 1 species
CAGGCUGGUUGGGCAAUCGCGGUUCUGCUUGCAGGAUCGAGGAAAGUCCGCACUCCACAGAGCGCGACGUCGGAUAACAUCCGGGGCGGGGCAACCUGCCGGAACAGGGCCACAGAAACAAACAGCCAUCCCUCGGGGUGGUGAUGGUGAAAAGGUGGUGUAAGAGACCACCGGCGUUUGCAGUAAUGCAGGCGGCCAGGUAACCCCCGUCGGGAGCAAGGCAAAGCAGGGACAAGAGAUGGCUCGUCUCAUUUGAGUCCCGGGUAUGCUGCAACGAGCGGCGCGGUGACGUGACGCCCAGAGAGAUGAUUGCACAGAUGGCGCAAGUCAUCGGACAGAAUGCGGCUUAUAAACCAGCCUGAGAC